rnacentral:rRNA from 1 species
AACGAACGCUGGCGGCAGGCUUAACACAUGCAAGUCGAGCGCCCCGCAAGGGGAGCGGCAGACGGGUGAGUAACGCGUGGGAAUCUACCGUGCCCUAAGGAAUAGCUCCGGGAAACUGGAAUUAAUACCUUAUACGCCCUUUGGGGGAAAGAUUUAUCGGGGUAUGAUGAGCCCGCGUUGGAUUAGCUAGUUGGUGGGGUAAAGGCCUACCAAGGCGACGAUCCAUAGCUGGUCUGAGAGGAUGAUCAGCCACAUUGGGACUGAGACACGGCCCAAACUCCUACGGGAGGCAGCAGUGGGGAAUAUUGGACAAUGGGCGCAAGCCUGAUCCAGCCAUGCCGCGUGAGUGAUGAAGGCCCUAGGGUUGUAAAGCUCUUUCACCGGUGAAGAUAAUGACGGUAACCGGAGAAGAAGCCCCGGCUAACUUCGUGCCAGCCGCCGCGGUAA